UAUCAUCCCCCUUCCUAAGUUGAUAGUGAGUCUUAUUAAGUGGUGCUGUGUCAUAAAGUGUUGAGUUGUGUCAGCUGGAAAUGGAACAUGAUUAAGUAUAUAAAGGAGCCCCAGCCUCGCCUGCCACAACAUUAUACAACAGAAACCUUGGCAGUGUGCUAACAUCUUUUCUUUCUCGCUUUCCUGGGGAGCAGCGAGCCCGCCUCUCACCAUGUGGGUCCAGUUGUUGGUCCUGGGCUCAAGUUGGCCAAGUGCAGAGAAGCAAGCUAACAGGAGAGAGAAAAAAGGUUCCAGCUCUGUUAUAUAACGGCACUACAGUAACGCACCCCGGUCCUUGGCAGCCCUGUCAAUUCCUCCUCUCUGAAUUGUUGGUUCGGGACAAUCAUUCAGCAGGGAAUUACUUUCUCCUCUAUGAAAUAAAUGAGAUGUUAAACUAGU